GCCUUGGUGGCUUAGUCGGUUAAGCAUCCGACUUCUGCUCAGGUCAUGAUAUCUCAGUUCAUGGGUUCGAGCCCCGUGUUGGGCU
rnacentral:tRNA from 1 species